CAACCGCGGCGGUAAAGCCAGCACCUCAAGUGGUCAGGAUGAUUAUUGGGCCUAAAGCAUCGGUAGCUAGUUUUGUAAGUUUUCGGUUAAAUCCAUACGCUUAACGUAUGGGCUGCCGGGAAUACUGCAUAACUAGGAAGUGGAGAGGUAGACGGUACUCGGUAGGAAGGGGUAAAAUCCUUUGAUCUAUUGAUGACCACCUGUGGCGAAGGCGGUCUACCAGAACACGUUCGACGGUGAGGGAUGAAAGCUGGGGGAGCAAACCGGAUUAGAUACCCGGGUAGUCCCAGCUGUAAACUAUGCAAACUCAGUGAUGCAUUGGCUUGUGGCCAAUGCAGUGCUGCAGGGAAGCCGUUAAGUUUGCCGCCUGGGAAGUACGUACGCAAGUAUGAAACUUAAAGGAAUUGGCGGGGGAGCAC
rnacentral:rRNA from 2 species